GUUUUUUUUUUUUUCAAGUACCGCGAUUGUGGCAAGAUUUUCUCUUCUUGGAUUGACCAUCCAAGCAGCUAUUCUCGUCUGUUCUCCACCAUAUCAAUUGCUCUCUGUUGCCGGUGCAGUUCCUCUAUCGGUUCCUCAUACGAUUCUCUCUCUUAUCAGAAACCCAAAUCCAAACCCAGUUACCAACACCCAGAUCGUUAUGCUUUCACGGAACCCCUAUCAGAGGAAACGCUCUUCCUUUCAUCUCUAGAUGGAUAGGAGGGUUUUUUUUGUAUAUUCCCUGCACAUUGCAAAAUUCCGGGUCUAUUUGGGGGGUUUUGGUGUUGCAAAGACUGAAGCUCAAAGAAAAUGGUAUGUAUACUGACAAAUGGUUGUAUAGAAGUGAGUUUGUAAAACUUGGUAAGAAUCUUUAAGAAAUUUAAAGGCAUCAGAAGCCAAAACUGAAGCUCAAAGAAAUAGGCUUAAGUAUGUCAAGGCAUUUAAAAGUGGGCAGAAAUUGAUUGAAGUUCCAAGAGAAGUUCGGAAGUGGUCUCUCAUUUUUGUACAAUUACAAUUGAAAAGGUACCUAUGUUCUUUUUCAUGAUAAGAUACAAUCCUUCUUGUUUCUUGGUAGGUACAACAAUGUGGACUUUGAACAAUGUUAAUAAUAUUUUCCACUAUUUUGAAACAGAUUUUUAUUUUACAAGUAACUAGGUGACUUGUAUCUUUUUGGUGGAACCUAGGUUUUGACAGUUUGAUGAGCUAGAAGGCGCCAUGUUUGGAUUGCCAUUUUUCAGUCAUACUUGGGCAUCGGGCAGUUCUAUCUCUAUUGGCAUCUGAAGCAAAUAAGAGUCCUCCCAUAGAGGUAUUCCUUUCUUACUUUCUUUAUCCCUUCAUUUUCUUUCCUCUUGUAAAUUGUGUGGUUUUUCUUUAUCUUUGAAUUUGAUAAUUAUUCAUGACUUCUGUGAGAGGGACAAGUACUGCAUUUUCUACUUCCUAGCAGAUUGUUGUGUGAAUCGUAAACAAUAAAACCACAUAUUAUUACUUGUAAAAUGAUUAAUGGCUACAAUUUGAUUAUUUCGGUCACACGUCAAACCAGCAUCCAUAAAUUAAAGGUGCAACACCUUAUUUGGGAUAAAGUGUGAACUUAAUUUUCAUUGUGCCAUAUAGCAUAUUAAGUCACCCGUCAAACCCUAUAAAUUGUUUCCUUAUAUUAAUGCAAUAGAUUGUGAUUCACCUUUUAUAUAUACUCUGAGGGCAAGUUUAGUAAACUGCCGUUUGUUCAUGGUAAA